rnacentral:rRNA from 1 species
UACGUAGGGUGCAAGCGUUGUCCGGAAUUAUUGGGCGUAAAGAGCUCGUAGGCGGUUUGUCGCGUCGGCUGUGAAAACCUGGGGCUCAACCCCGGGCCUGCAGCCGAUACGGGCAAACUAGAAUUCGGUAGGGGAGACUGGAAUUCCUGGUGUAGCGGUGAAAUGCGCAGAUAUCAGGAGGAACACCGGUGGCGAAGGCGGCAUCCUGGACCAACACUGACGCUGAGGAGCGAAAGCCAGGGGAGCAAACGGG